GCGAGCAGGUCUGCGGGCCUGGACCUGGGCGCCGGGCCGCGGCUGGCAGGGGUGAGCGGAGAGCAGGCGGCGCAGGAGGAAAGCACCGGCCCUCUAGGUGUCCCCCACCCCCGGUCAACUGGAGAAGGCUGAGUGUUCAGGGUCUGAGGCAACAGCAGGCGGCGAAGGAAGUGGCUGGAGAGGACCCGGGGAGCCGACCACACGGAGGCCGGACGAGGGGGCCGCGAAGCCGCUGGGCGGGGUUGGCAGCCGAGCUCUGGGCCCUACGCCACUCCGCAGCCCAUAAAGCGCGCAGGGUCACUCUGCAGCGCCGGCUUGGCGGCUUUAACCAUUUUUGCUCCAGGACCAGGGUUUUUGAGCAGCGUAGGGGAAAGGGGGAGGGGGACGGGACUCCCCCCUUUUUCAGGCCGCUGCCUCUCCUCGCCCCAGCCCCUGCGCUGCCCAUGAAGCCUGUUCUGACCAGCCAGCCGCUUGGUUAGCCCCCAGCCCGGAAUUCUCGUCGUUUGUGUCCAGCCUACACCAUCUUUCAUCUCUUGAUUCCUGGAUUUCUGACCAUUAGACCUGCCAGGUCAGGAGGAGCCUGCUAUGGUAAAUCAUGUAUCAGAAAUCUCAGCAUCACCAGAGACUAAAAUGGAUGUCCAUAUGUCACAGAGAAUGAAAUCUCUUCCCAAUCCCUGUCUUCUGAGCUGACUUGAAGCCUCACAGCCGUUCUGCUGAGACAGAAGGAGGGACUGCAUGACCUGAGGAAGGUUCCUCACCCCACUCACCCCCACCAGCAGGUAGCUGCCACUAUUCAGGUCUCAGCAAAAGAGUGACAUCCUUGGGAAAAUAUUCUCCAACACCCUCCACCCCUGGCCUUAAUAGUAAUUAUCUCAGUUUGUAGCUAUAUCCUUAUCUAUAUCAUCUGGAUAAUGAAUGUCUAACUCAAGUGUCUAUAAGAUCCAUGAAUAUUUAUGUCCCAAAUUGUAUUUCAUGAAAGUAGUGGUGGGAGAGGUAUGACUGUGGCAAAUAAAUUUGGAAAAUGCUGUAGGACUUCUGGGAGCCUUUAAAAGGCUAAUGUGUGUAUAAUCACCAGCAUUUUACAAACCAUAUUAACUAUGGGACCUUUCUUUAUAACACUUGUUAACAUUUGGAGGAACUAGUAUCCUGUGGAUUGUAGUUUGAGAAAGUCCAGUAUAAAAUGAAGUAUAAUUUCUGCCUUUCAUAGCAGAGUGGUGAUUGUCACUAGCACACAGAUUGUGAAUGACCAUGGGAGCUGCCAUGGAAAACCGUCACAAAACUUCAGAGUGAAAUAAUCAUAUAGAAAAAGAUAGUUGGGGCAAAGGAGAGUUUGAGGAAAAUACCCAAAACAAGGGAGGGGGUGAUGAGAAAGAAAGCUGGCUCAUAUAGGGCUCAGAAUGACUGAGUUCCAAUUAAAGUAGAAUCCACCCCAACUGGCUGAGUCCAGAGAGAACUGGUCAGGUUCUCCUCAGUGCUUGGCGCUGCUCAGUGAGAACAAACAUGACACCCACUGCUGGUCCAAACCACAGGGAAGGAGUGGGACCUUGGCUUUUCUUGUGGGCUUUUGCAUAUAACCCAUCGGCUUGGUCAUGAUAAUGUGAAGUUCAUAACUGGUGAAUUUCAAGUUCCAUGGGAUUACACUUUUUCAGGAACAUGUCAGUAUAAAAAAAUUAUAGUUGAUCAUUUUAAUUAAUAUAAAAUAUAUUAUUUUUUAGCUUUUGAUAAAAUCAUUUAAAUAAUUUUUAAGUGAAAACACAUCAGUACUACUGUGAGCUAUUGCUAUAUGUGUGAGGUGGAGAUAGAUGUUUGUUAAUAUUCCAAAGGGCCGCCUCAGAUCCCUUAUGGAAAUAGAGUUUGUUGACUUAGUAAAUGAAUGCAGAAACAAUUAUUCCAAGUUUUGUGUCUGGCAUACUGUCUACAGAUUAUCUUUUGGAGUUAGUCCAGUGAGUAGGAAUUUUCUUUUUGGGUUUGAUUUCACAAGGCAUGCAAUCACAUGUGAACAAUGGGAACUCAGAGUGGAAAACCUUGUUUUAAAAAUCAACUAACGUUAAGUUCCCCACUUCGGCCAGUCAACUGAGAUAACAGUUUUUAUGGUAAAGACUUAAAACAACAUCAAGCAUAAUGCCCUUGUUUAUGUAGCAAAAAGAAGUUAGUUGUUUGCGGAUCUGAAGACUUUCAGACUUUUGCAUUAUUGCUGAAAGCAAACUCAAUUCUGGAUGAUAUGUCAACACAGGUCUAUGGGGAAAGGCAAAAAAAGGAGGAGAACUUUGGAAAAUGCUACACAGUGGGUUUUUGGCUUUCCUGGAAGUAUCUUCUAUGUCAACCCUGGAAUUUAUCUUCAGUUCAAAAGAUUACUGUUAAAAGAGGCUUAAUUCUAAACAAUGGCUUCCUUUUUAAAAGGUUCUUGGCUUUUAACACU